UGACUGAGAUAACAUAUACACUGAACAUAAACACUGAAAUUCCUAAACAUACCCUCACCCCUUCGGAGACAAGGAACUCUGUCAAGAACCAAUGGGAUACUGACAUCAGGCUGGAGGGCACUGUCUAUCACCUACAAGCAACCUACCCGAAGCCAGGACUACCAGAAUCUACCUACGUCAUUCUAUGUAUAAAUUCUCAUGCACGCUUUGUCUUCAGCGCGCGUUCCAGGGUCUCGCUCUGAGUCAAUUGAACAGCCCGUGCACGCCUGAGCAAUACUUUUCAUUGUAAUAAACAGCCUUAUAUAUAUAUAUUUUAUUCCACCGUGUCCUGGUUCAUGACCGAGUCCAGUUCCUCCAAUCUUAUCAUCAACAGAAUCUGGUAGCAGAGAAUGGUUUCUAACGAACCUGAAAUUCGAUCCGUCGUAGGUUGAUGUGAGGAACUGACCGGUCACGAAACGAUUGAAUCCUGAAGGACGGGUGACCUAAUCUAGGAGACACCAACCAUUCUGCCCACCUCGGGAAACUGAUCAGAGAUCUCUUAAAAUAAAGCUCUCUCUGUUCAGGUUCGCAAGGUCCAGGAGAGAGAACUGACGGAAGAUCCAGCACCACUGAAGGUAAAAAUUGGAGACUGAGUGAGGGUCAAAGUCCACAAGAGAAAGUGGCUGGAACCCAGGUGGACUGGGCCGUACGAAGUGAAGGAGGUUACUUCACACUCAGUCCAGGUCAAAGGUAAAUUGGGCGCACCUUGGCACCACCUCACACAUUGUACACCAGCUCCAACCCCUUCCCGCACACUGACGGAAGUCAGAACUGACCUAAGUGGUCUAAAUUCGGUCCCAAAUUCUACAUCUAUUUAGCCAAGGAAAAUGGGAGGUGCACCCCCAUACUCUCUGACUAAAUCACACCUUUCCCCCUGGGAACGUUUGGGGAUCUCGGGACCCCUGUUUGUUAUUUUUCUUCUAAUAGGAGGAAUAACCGUAUGCACACUCACAUGGCUUAUAGACCAACAGAUGCACCCACUACAGACUCACACACUGAAUUCUACUCUGCCAGGUGAAACUAACUCUCUCUCUCUUCCCUCUUAUCUACCACAAGACCAUAGCGUUUCUAGGCGUGAGGUGGGGGUCACUAAGUGCACCCCCCAGGAGUUGAAGAGCACCACCUUGUGUUUGCCUUUCAAUGCCACCGCCACCGUUUACCUGCCUUGGGGCCUUUUGGGUCAUGCGCGAAAUAGUCUGGGGCUACCUGCCUGGACUUAUUCCAGUUUCAACUGGUAUAUAACCAAAGGGGGAUAUGGUGAGUGGUCUUGGAAAAACCUGGUGGCGGAAACAGGGUAUGACUGGUCCAGCUAUUCCAAGGGACGGGUUGUUCUUGCCUGGCGCAAACGGCUUACAUUUUAACGCACUGGUUUUCAACUAAAGCUGAUUGUACGACCUGGGACCACUAUGGGUUGCCAGGUUUUUAUGUUGGCCCCAUAUGUAGAUACUACCAGCAGGGCUGAAGUCCAUUUCACUCUAUAUAUCUGCUUUACUCCACAACCACAGCCUACUUCUGUGACGGUGCGUGACGAUAUGGCAAAGCCACAUACCCUACCUCAGGACAAGGAUGGGUGGGGUUCUGCUGUUUUAGUGGUCACUACCCCUACCCCGGAUGAGAACAUUCAGGUUGCUACAGGUGUCUCAGGUUUGUCUAACAAUUGGUUAUUAUUGACCGAACAAGCAGCCAAUACAACCCCCACUAGUUGCGUAGUUUGCAUGGGUGCCAGACCAUUGCUUCGCAUUGUCCCGGCCUCUGUCGAGAUCGGAUGUUUAAUGCCCCUUAUGGACAAAGACAAUCCGACUGGUAAUUGCUCCUUGUGGGAUGAAGUUUACCCUGUCGUCCCCGCUACGGUCAGGACACCAGUAUUUUCCUCUGAUGUUGCCAGGGCCGAAUUCUCCUGUAUUAAAAUGACAGGGGGUAUACUACAGUUAGGUCUGCUCCCUGAGGGUUGGUGUACAAAUACUAUCGUAAUAGUUGGUGGUUUUAAGCCAGUGGUCAGGGCGGACAUCUGGUGGUGGUGUGGGGGAACUCAGGUUUUUGACAGAAUUCCCAGUGAUGCUACGGGUACUUGUGCGCUUGUAACACUUUUGCUGCCUAUCUCUGUUUACCCUAUAGGUGUGGGUGAUUUGGUGACCCGGAUACAGGAUGUGGACCCACAGUUUCUGCCUACCAGAACCAAGCGGGCAGCAGCCCUGACUGUCGGGGAUCCCACGUAUAUUGAUGCCAUAGGUGUUCCUAGGGGGGUCCCUGGUGAGUACAAGCUGGUGGACCAGGUCGCCGCAGGUUUUGAAUCAGCUCUCUGCUGGUGGUGCACUGUUAAUAAAAAUGUUGACCGCAUUAACUAUAUACAUUUCAAUGUCCAAAAAAUGAGGUAACUGGACUCAACAAGGCUUUGAGGCCGUACAUGGUCAACUGGCUGCCACCUCCCUUAUGGCUUUUCAAAAUCGCAUUGCCGUUGACAUGUUGCUGGCUGAGAAGGGUGGGAUAUGUUUUAUGUUUGGGGAGAAAUGUUGCACAUUUAUCCCCAAUAACACAGCCUCUGAUGGCAGCCUCACUGUGGCGUUAGAAGGCCUGCGUACCCUUAAUGGUAAAAUGAAAUCCCACUCUGGGGUUGGUACCAGCAUGUGGGACUCCUGGAUGGAUGCAUUUGGUAAAUAUAAGGUCCUGGUCUCCUCUAUUCUGGUCUCUAUCUCUGUGUUUGCUGCUAUAUUAAUCCUCUGUGGCUGUUGUUGCAUCCCAUGUGCCCGCUCCCUGCUUUCUCGAGUUAUUACUUCUGCUAUUGCACCAAAUACUGACCCUGCACUGAUGUUUCCCCUCCUACAACAGGAGGAUUCUCUGGUGGAGUUUGAAACAUGCACAUAUGAGUAGUUUUCACGUCUCUUUGGAGACGUGAAGAGGGGGACUACAAUUUUUCCCUGUCACACUUUUCUUACAUAUAAGUAGUUUUCACGUCUCUUAGGAGAUGUGAAGAGGGGGAUUUGUAGUAACAUAUUAACACAUGUAAUAACGCAUUCACUGACUGUUGCCUGCCUGUGGCCAAAGCAUGAUAGAAUAGCUUGCACACUGUAUCAUAAACCUUCCCCUCCCCCUGUCCUUCUUUUAGAACACUGGUACUACCCAGUAUGGGGGACUGACUGAGAUAACAUAUACACUGAACAUAAACACUGAAAUUCCUAAACAUACCCUCACCCCUUCGGAGACAAGGAACUCUGUCAAGAACCAAUGGGAUACUGACAUCAGGCUGGAGGGGACUGUCUAUCACCUACAAGCAACCUACCCGAAGCCAGGACUACCAGAAUCUACCUACGUCAUUCUAUGUAUAAAUUCUCAUGCACGCUUUGUCUUCAGCGUGCGUUCCAGGGUCUCGCUCUGAGUCAAUUGAACAGCCCGUGCACGCCUGAGCAAUACUUUUCAUUGUAAUAAACAGCCUUAUAUAUAUAUAUUUUAUUCCACCGUGUCCUGGUUCAUGACCGAGUCCAGUUCCUCCAAUCUUAUCAUCAACACUCCUCAAGUUGUAAUAACUAACCAUAUCUACAUGUACAUACUACCUCAGUCAGCCUGACUAACAGGUGCCUGUAUGUAGCCACGUUACUUUUAUAGCCUCGCUACUGUUAUUUUUCACUGUCUUUUUACUGGUGUUUUUAUUUCUUUACUUACCUAUUGUUCACUUGAUACCUUUUUUGCACUAUUGGUUAGAGCAUGUAAGUACUGUAAGGUCUACACCUGUUGUAUUCGGCGCACGUGACAAAUAAACGUUUAUUUUAUUUUAUUUGAUAA